UAUUCAUUGUCUUCUACAGUAGAGCGGGACAUUUAAUUUACUCUCAGCGGAAUUGACCGGAGAAGGCAUCAGUUCAUGCACUGCACUGGCCCGCACCACGAUUAGUAUAAGGCACAUUUCACGAAGCAGAACGCAGUCUUCAGAGAUAUCCACGUGAACGCUGUGAUACGUCUGACCUUCAGUCCGAAGAAGAAACCCAGACCAGUCUUAAAAGAAAGCACAAACCAAAUCCCCUGUACACAUAUACGGACUCAGAGGAUGAGCAGCCUACAAAAAAACGGUUUCCCCAGGCCCCUCGAGUGAAAAUACCAG